ACACAGAAAACACUUGCCAUGUUAGAGGGCGUGACCCUGGGGCACAACCUGUGGUACUGCAGGAGACUUAGACUACAUUGGACACCCUCCUAAUUUCCAUGUUUUAGAGGAAAGCAAUGGGGAUGGAGAAGGUGUUCUGUAAUGGCACAGUGGACCAAGGGCACAACUGUUUGGUAAUCCAAUGACCAAGUGGACAGAAAACUCAUGCUCCCCUUGGGAGCCACUGACCCAUCAGCAAGUUCCUUUAUAAUUCUGAGCAGCCAUAAGACACAUUGGCUCAGGUUAGACCAUUCAUUCUUGUGUUGAAAAGAGCCAAUGUCAAACUGCUCAAGACCCCAGUAGAUCUAGACUCUCCUGCUGAGGUUCGCAGGCGCUGAGAUCUCAGGGCAACAGGGGCCUCUCAGCAACAUCUCCUCUUGGAGACUCUUGAACUUCCCUCAGCCUGAGGCUGUCGGUCCUGUCCGUAAGCUGUGUUUACAUUGGGAUCGCAUGAAAUCCGUGAACGUAGGAGGGAACAGUCCUAUUUGAUAGAGAGGAGAGGGACUAGUGGAAGACAAAGGACAAAGAAGGUAAUAUGGGAAAAGUGCAAUGACAGGGCUCAGUGGAGAAAGUGGGGAUGGUGUGAACAGAAACACUCCCAGGGAUAAAAGCCGAGGAAUGCACUGCUCAUGUAAACGAAUCCAAGAUGCCAGGACUCUAAAACCGUUAGGAACCUACCGCUUUGACUGAGCACAGCAUGUCUGUGUAUGAAAUUACAAGAAGGAAACUACUUUGAGGUAAGGUGAAAGAUAAACAAGUAGUCAUUUGCAUGUAGUUGUCUAGAGAACCUGAAGACAUGUAAUUAUUAACCUCUCCAGAUGAGGUCAACAUCUGUAUUCUCUUUCCUAGACGUGUGGAGACUUGGCACUCGUGGCCACGAGAGAGAGAGUUUACUCCAUUCCCUCUGCUGAACACACUCAAAAUACCCUGCUGGCUUCCCUCCAGGGAUUCUCCUCAUUCUUAUGUUUGUUCUGACUCCACUCAGGCUGGUUAAGAGGGUGAGGUGAAUGUCUGGGAGACAAGUACCCAGACAUAGAUGAGGGGGGAGGGAUAAGAGAGGAGGGAGGUGCCAUGCUGGGAAAAAAGAUACCUCACAGCACAGGCGCACAUGUGAACAAGGGCGAGUCUCAGCCAGCAAGGCAGUUUUAUACUUAGCCUAAUGCCUGCCUCUAGAGUGGAGAGGCUAAUUAAGGCUCGGUAGUGGUGCUGAACACUUCCCAGCUGUAUGGGAUACCCUCAGCUAAGACAAAAAGCUUUCACCUCUGUUCUAAACCAGGAGGAGCCACCAGAGGUGUGGAGUGUGGGAAAAAACACAUUCUUAGUUGCUCAUAGGGCCUACCUUAAAUGUGUGUAAUUUUAAGUUUCUUUAGUCUGGGGACUAUUUGCAUAUGCACAAUGAGGUUACCUGGGGAGGAGACUGAGUCUAAAUGUAAAGUUUAGUUUCAAGAGAGGACUAAUCUUUAGCUUGAAGGUUCUUUUAUAUAAUAAAACAAUAACUUUAAUAUGUUAAUAGUUUAAUGAAGUAGCAAAAGUGGAGUGUUCCAUUUGUGGCCUCAUGUUGGAGUCUGAGGCAUUUCAGAUGCCACUUUUGGAUGAGAGAUGCUUAGCCUGCGUCUAUAAAGAGCAGAUAUUCACAUGCUGUGGGUGUAACAAGCUGCCUCCCCACCCCCACACCCCAAGGUGAAUUGUGGGUUCUAAUGCUAACACAGGGAAGAGUGCUCUUUGAGGGCAAGCAAGAUGGCAAGCCCAGCCACUGCAAAAGGGAUGCGAGCCUGUUUUCUGAUGCUGAAAAUAGAACACUGACCAAAAGCAACUUGGUGGGGAAAGGGCUACUUGACUUAUAACUAACUCCAGGUCCCAGCCUAUCACUGUGGGAAGUCAGGCAAGAGUUCAGUACAGGAACAAUGGAGGAACAUUCACUCAGCCAGCUUUCCUUAUAGUUCAGACCCAUUUGCCUCUGGAUGGGGCUGCCCAGGCAUGGGCCAGGCCCUUCGACAUCAAUCACCAGUUAGGACAAUCUCUCACAGACAUGGCCACAGGCCAAUCUGAUCUGGGCAAUCUCUGAACUGAGCCUCCCUUCAGAUGACUCUGGGCUGUGUCAAGUUGACAGCUGAAACUAACUAGGACAGAAGCUAAUCAGGUAAAACGUUCACUAGCUGGCGACGUUCCCAUUUUCUAAUGAAAUUUAAAGCCGAACCAUCAAGUAAGAAUUCGCAAAUCAAUUUUCCCAGGACAAUGAUUUCUGGUUUCUAGCAGACGCAGAGGCUUUUUCUUCUUCUUCUUCUUCUUCUUCUUCUUCUUCUUCUUCUUCUUCUUCUUCUUCUUCUUCUUCUUCUUCUU
rnacentral:sRNA from 1 species